AUGAUGGUGAUGUUGUGAAGUGUCGAUGGUCUACACAAACCCCAAAUGAUGAAUGCGGUGGUGUUUGUGAAACACUGAGUGGUUCUUAUUUAGAUGAACGUUCCUGUGUUUUGAGCUACAAUGCAACAAGAUCCAUGGGUUGGUAUGCUGUUGCUUUGCAAAUCGAAGACUUCCAGAAGUCUACUGAUACAGCUCCUUUCAGCAGUGUUUCUUUGCAGUUUUUGAUCUUCGUUGCUAAUUCAAGCACAUCAUGUGAAUCGAGACCAGUUCUACCACAGAAUAUAAUAACUGAUGGUUCGAUUCAUCAUAGUUCUGUCUACAAGAUUUUUAAUGAGUCGAUUAUUGCUAGGAGUGGUGAGGCAACGUUAAGAGUUACAGCAAUUGACACGGUUUCUCCAAUAGGAAUGAUUAAAUCAGAAUUAUUUCCAUAUGGAACGUCUGGAAGAGAAUGGUUUGUAACCGUGACUUGGGAACCAAUGAAAAGCCAGCUAGGCGCCCAUUUGUUUUGUUACACUGCGGUUGAUAAUCUAGGUCAAGCCUCAGAUCAAACAUGCGCUACACUCGUGGUAGACGAAGAAGUGGCUGAUACACCGGAACCCGAUAAUUUGAUUGUUCUAAAUUCUGAGUGCAAUGCCUUCAAAACAC